rnacentral:rRNA from 1 species
CGUGCCUAACACAUGCAAGUCGAACGGAGUUCUUAAGGAAUGCGGCUUCGGCUAAAUGACUUUUGAACUUAGUGGCGACGGGUGAGUAACGCGUGAGCAACCUGCCUUUCAGAGGGGGAUAACAUUUGGAAACAGAUGCUAAUACCGCAUAAGAUUACAGUACCGCAUGAUACAGUGAUCAAAGGAGCAAUCCGCUGAAAGAUGGGCUCGCGUCCGAUUAGAUAGUUGGUGAGGUAACGGCUCACCAAGUCGACGAUCGGUAGCCGGACUGAGAGGUUGAACGGCCACAUUGGGACUGAGACACGGCCCAGACUCCUACGGGAGGCAGCAGUGGGGAAUCUUCCGCAAUGGGCGAAAGCCUGACGGAGCAACGCCGCGUGAGUGAUGACGGCCUUCGGGUUGUAAAACUCUGUGAUCCGGGACGAAAAGGCAGAGUGCGAAGAACAAACUGCAUUGACGGUACCGGAAAAGCAAGCCACGGCUAACUACGUG